UAACCAAAAGCUUAGGUUAAAACAAACCAGGGGCCUUCAAAGCCCCAAAUAAGGCUUAAACCCCUUAGCUUUUG
rnacentral:tRNA from 1 species